rnacentral:lncRNA from 1 species
GGUUAUUUUGCUGCAGCCGGACUGUGGCAGAUGGUGGCCCGUUACGGGGAGCCCCGGGACACUUGGGGGUAAGUGACAAAAAAUGCUGCCCGUCCAUAGAUAGAACGGGAGCAAAUCUGCUCUUCCCUAGGCAGUUAGGGCGAGAGGAAAAAUGACAAUUUCGAGAAAAUGGAGAAGAUUGAUACAGUAUGUUUGUGUCUUGUUUUGUCUCAGUGUAUUGUAUUGUCUUUGUGAUGAAAAUAUGGAAGGGGUGAGAAGUAAAUUACUAAGGGAAGAAGGCACCCCAGUGGAACCAAGAAUAGUUAGGGCAUGUGUUGAUGGAAGCCCAGGAACUCUAGUCAGAAAGAAAAAGAAAGUUAAGAAGAAGAAGGAUUAUCAGGAAAAAAGUUGCAGCAAAAGGCUAUUACUGAAUACUUUUCAUUACCGGAGGGUGCGUGAAUCGGCGCCGCGGCUGCCACAUGCGCGAGCUGGUCAUGGCGCAGCAAGGGCUUUCCAAACGGCGGCAGCUGGCUCUUCCACUGCUGAGAGCCCAAAUCUAGACCUGACCUGGAGGCACAGUCUCGCAGGCUCUUUCUCCCUGUGCCCAGUAGCAGUUUGAGACCGGGACACUCCCCAGGGCCAUCUGGGGCUGCCCAGGCACUACAGCCAGCAGAAGACGCUACUGGUGUCCCUGAUGUUUGGUCAUUUUCAAUGCCAGUAACUACAAUGGUUCUCCCACACCUGGAAGCUAAUGAGUAAUGAGCACUAUUAAGGCCUAUUUCAAAUGUAAAAAAACCUUGAGAUAAUGUACUAAAUUGUUCAGAAGGUUGUUUUCUUAGUAGAAUGCUACAGGAUUUUCUUUAGCCAUCCAGAGUUCCUGCCUUCGUCCCAGUGCCGGUGAAGAGCAAGGUGGAAGAAUUUCCAGUGUUGCUGAAAACCUGACGAGACUUCCGCUGAGAAACGGACGAGACUUCAGAUCAAGCUAGUUGCCUGCAGAACUUACCUGGACUGUGAUUUAAGCUAGCUGCCUGCAGAACUUACCUGGACUGUGAUUUACCUGGACUGUGAGUUAAUCUAUUGAGAGACUGCUUUACCUGGACUGAGACAAGAAACUGUAAUCUAUAACAAAUUGUAACUCGGUAUCUUUGCUAACAGUGUCAUUGCUGGUAUAAUUUUUCCAAGGGCUUCUUGCAUGGAGCCAUCAAUUGGCUUGGUAUUGUGGCAUUUUGUAUCCUCCCUUUCUGUUUGUAGCAGGUUAUUUAUGGUGUUUCUGUAAAAACCACUAUGGUCGUUAUUUAAAUUAAACAAAAGGGGGAAAUGUUAGAGUCUGUAAACAAGUCAAAAUAACACCUGGCAUUUUGCCAGAGAAAUGUUAGUCUGUAAACAAGUCUGGAUGGCGCCUAGGCAAAAUGCCAGAGGGAAUGGUUUGUGAAGUAACGCCAUCGAGCCAUUAAGUGUGGAGAUUCCUUAUUGGUUGACUGAUGUAUCUAGUUUAUGUUAAUUAGAUAAGCUGUGUGGAAUGUAUAAAUACCGCUCCUGUCCUACAAUAAACGGCUCCUACUCCU